GCUCCUGGCUGGGCUGAUUUCUUCUCAACCAUCAGCAAUCAAAUCCACAUCACCACUGUGAGAAUUAAUUCCUCCUCAAGCUCCCCUUCAGAGAGAUCCAGAAAGCAUAACCAUUCCCCGAGAGCCACCGUUCUUCUCCUAAGUGGUUCCUGGCUUUGGUGGCAGAGGGCACCUGGGAGGCCAUCAGCACCAAGAAGGGAGCACGGAGGCCACUCUGAGGAGGAACUCCAUCAGAGCACCUUUGCUUGGGAUCCUUGACCCUGGAGCCCUGGGGAGGGCUGAGGCUAGCAAACAACAGGCCCUGGUUGUGUCUUCCUGUAUCAUUUACCAAACAUCUUAACAUUCAGUUUCCCUUGU